rnacentral:lncRNA from 1 species
UUGGUUUGUCUGCUUAAUCAUUUCACAAUACAAAAAGCCUAUGGAUGUGGAUAUGGGCCUCAGUUAAAAAUAAAUAAAAAGCCCAACGUAAAAGGUUUAGAAGUUGAAAUUUAGAAAACAUUAAAAAUUGGCCCAAGUAAAAACUUAUCUUCCCUUCCCUCCCCUUCCAUUCUGCCUGCGUUCAAGCUUUUGAAGAGUACAACAAUGGCGAGUUGGGGCCUGCAUCCAACCUUCAAGUUUCCAGCAAAUCCAAUCCUCCAGAAAUCCCAAUGCAGGCACUGCCUUCAAUUGUUGUAAGAAAUCCCAGAUGAGGUGAGGCGGAUGCCUACACUCGCCUCUAUGUAGCUCCGCCCCUGGAA